rnacentral:RNase_P_RNA from 3 species
CUCGCAGGUCGGAUGGUCGCCCCGCCCAAAGCUAUGCGAAUAGCAUUGCUGGCGGGGAGGAAAGUCCGAACACUCACCCCGAGUUUAUCGAGGGGAAGGGUAGCGGGUAAUACCCGUCCGGAGCAAUCCGAGAGGUGCGAGCAGAGACGUCUUGAGGCGAAAGCCGAAAGACGCCCCGUCGAAUGACGGGGCGAGUCCCAAGAGUAAUCCUGGGAGUGAAACGGCUAAAUCCUUACCUGAGUGCAAGAGCAAACCAGAAGUUUUGCUUUCAUGUUGAACUUCUGUGAAAAGGUAGCUCGCAUGAGCCCGAGAGCAAUCGAGGGUCUAGAUAGAUGACCGUCCCCGCCUACAGCUACGCAGUUGUGAGCGGGACAGAAUUCGGCUUAUAGACCUGCGAGGACA